rnacentral:lncRNA from 1 species
ACAGAGCAGCAGAUUUCAGAUUGGGUAUAUUUGGUCUAUAAAUCCAGUUGACGUAUAUGUCUAUAGUAGCAGUCGUUGCAUGCAUACUUACAGUUCUUACUUUACAGUUGUCUUGCUACUAUAGUAGAUAUUCAUGUAUGCUUUCUGUUCUAGUUACAGUAGCGGUAGUCGUUAUUCAGUAUAGUUCCUACUUUCUUUCAGUUUAUUGCUACUGUAUUCAGUAUAUCUGCUCAUUACCUUAUUUAUCUCUUCCUAAUUCGGUGAGUACUCCUUGCCUUCAUCGACUUGCGGUACCCACUGGGAGGGGAGACAUGUUUACAUGUUCUCACCUCCCCCACCAUUUGUUAGGUAUUGCGGGCGGUGAGAUUGAGACGAGAUGUGAGACAAGUGGAUAGCUGUCGAUAGAACUUCUGACCCGGUUUGUGUAGUUUAGUUACUACCUUUAUUAUUUCUGUUGAUAUGAUUUAGACAUCUAUAUGGUUCAGUAUUUCCUUAUGUUUAAUUAUUCAAGAUUUUAGUUGGUUUUUCCGAAUGAGAUAAAGAUUUCUAGAUUUUUAUAGAAAGGAAAGGUUUUCUAUCCCUCGUGGUAGCGUGUUUUCAAAAGAAAAGAUUUCCGUGUGGGAAACAGCUUUCAAAAGAGUUUUCUCGUAGUUUUCUUGACUUAGUAUUUCAAAAUAAGUUUCCGGGUAGGAAACGUUUUAACUGAUAGUUGUGGAUUUAUAUUCAGAUCUCUAUUUAUGAACUUGUGGUGAAUGGUGUAAGGAUAUUGAAUGUAUGAUGACUUGUAUAUUCAUUUAGUUGUGAUUGUAUCCUGUUUUACAUCUUGUAUUUGUGCGACGCACUGUAAAUAUAUGGGAGACUCUGUCCGUGUGAACAGUGGAAUCACUGUAUUUGUGGCGGAUCUGGCAUACCCUGGGGUCAGGUUUUCAAAAACAAAAAAAAAAUUCUAGUCGCUUCCGCUUUAUUUUCAAACUAAAAGAGACCCCGGGGCAUAACAUAUAUAUUUCCAGAGAAUAUAUAAAUUAGCUCGUAAUUAAAAUAUACUAUUCUCGAGCAUUUUAAAGGUAGAUUUGAGUGGCCUGAGCCCCAAAAAGAAAAUAGGAGAUAUUUUAAGUUCAAUUUCCCGCCUAUAUUGACGAUGCGGUACAAAUUAAAUAGGGUUGGGUAGAUUAAUAAAAAGGGAAAAUUUCAUGGAUACCACUCGCAAAGUCUAAAAUAUCAUGGAUACCCCUAUAAAGUUUUAAAUAUCACCUAUAUCCUUGUGAAUAUAGAAUAUUAUCAUCAAUACCCCAACCGUUAGUUAUAUUAGUUUUACCAUAGUUAUUAAAUGGUUAAAAAUGGGUUAACUUUUGAAAUGACUUAUUUACCCUCAACUAUCUCUUAAGUAAAAAU